UGAUCCUACGGGAGGCAGCAGUCGAGAAUCAUUCACAAUGGGGGAAACCCUGAUGGUGCGACGCCGCGUGGGGGAAUGAAGGUCUUCGGAUUGUAAACCCCUGUCAUGUGGGAGCAAAUUAAAAAGAUAGUACCACAAGAGGAAGAGACGGCUAACUCUGUGCCAGCAGCCGCGGUAAUACAGAGGUCUCAAGCGUUGUUCGGAGUCACUGGGCGUAAAGCGUGCGUAGGCUGUUUCGUAAGUCGUGUGUGAAAGGCGCGGGCUCAACCCGCGGACGGCACAUGAUACUGUAGUUCUUGAGUGAU
rnacentral:rRNA from 1 species